UACGAAGGGGGCUAGCGUUGUUCGGAAUCACUGGGCGUAAAGCGCACGUAGGCGGAUUGUUAAGUCGGACGUGAAAUCCCCAGGCUCAACUUGGGAACUGCGUCCGAUACUGGAUGGCUUGAAUUCGGGAGAGGGAUGCAGAAUUCCAGGUGUAGCGGUGAAAUGCGUAGAUAUCUGGAGGAAUACCGGUGGCGAAGGCGGCAUCCUGGACCGAGAUUGACACUGAGUGAGCGAAAGCCAGGGGAGCAAACGGG
rnacentral:rRNA from 1 species